AUGAUGCUGUUGAAAGUGCUGCACUCAAUAUGCCAGCAAAUUUGGAAAACUCAGCAGUGGCCACAGGACUGGAAAAGGUCAGUUUUCAUUCGAAUCCCAAAGAAAGGCAAUGCCAAAGAAUGCUCAAACUACCGCACAAUUGCACUCAUCUCACAUGCUAGUAAAGUAAUGCUCAAAAUUCUCCAAGCAAGGCUUCAGCAAUAUGUGAACCGUGAACUCCCUGAUGUUCAAGCUGGUUUGAGAAAAGGCAGAGGAACCAGAGAUCAAAUUGCCAACAUCUGCUGGAUCAUGGAAAAAGCAAGAGAGUUCCAAAAAAACAUCUAUUUCUGCUUUAUUGACUAUGCCAAAGCCUUUGACUGUGUGGAUCACAAUAAACUAUGGGGAAUACUGAAAGAGAUGGGAAUACCAGACCACCUGACCUGCCUCUUGAGAAAUCUGUAUGCAGGUCAGGAGGCAACAGUUAGAACUGGAUAUGGAACAACCGACUGGUUCCAAAUAGGAAAAGGAGUAUGUCAAGGCUGUAUAUUGUCACCCUGCUUAUUUAACUUCUAUGCAGAGUACAUCAUGAGAAACGCUGGACUGAAAGAAACACAAGCUGGAAUCACGAUUUCCGGGAGAAAUAUCAAUCACCUCAGAUAUGCAGAUGACACCACCCUUAUGGCGGAAAGUGAAGAGGAGCCAAAAAGCCUCUUGAUGAAAGUGAAAGAGGAGAGUGAAAAAGUUGGCUUAAAGCUCAACAUUCAGAAAACCAAGAUCAUGGAAUCCGGUCCCAUCACUUCAUGGGAAAUAGAUGGGGAAACAGUGGAAACAGUGUCAGACUUUAUUUUGGGGGGCUCCAAAAUCACUGCAGAUGGUGACUGCAGCCAUGAAAUUAAAAGACGCUUACUCCUUGGAAGAAAAGUUAUGACCAACCUAGAUAGCAUAUUGAAAAGCAGAGACAUUACUUUGCUGACUAAGGUCUGUCUAGUCAAGGCUAUGGUUUUUCCUGUGGUCAUGUAUGGAUGUGAGAGUUGGACUGUGAAGAAGGCUGAGCACCAUAAGAAUUGA
rnacentral:lncRNA from 1 species